rnacentral:tRNA from 1 species
UAGUUCAGCCGUUAGAACACUUGCCUAGUAUGCAUGAGGCCCUGGGUUUGAUUCCCAG